rnacentral:rRNA from 1 species
CCUACGGGUGGCAGCAGUGAGGAAUAUUGGUCAAUGGGCGGGAGCCUGAACCAGCCAAGUCGCGUGAAGGAAGAAGGUACUUAGUAUUGUAAACUUCUUUUGUCGGGGAACAAAGGCGGAGACGCGUCUCCGGAUGAGUGUACCCGAAGAAAAAGCAUCGGCUAACUCCGUGCCAGCAGCCGCGGUAAUACGGAGGAUGCGAGCGUUAUCCGGAUUUACUGGGUGUAAAGGGCGAGUAGGCGGGAUUGCAAGUCAGAUGUGAAAACUAUGGGCUCAACCGAUAGAGUGCAUUUGAAACUGCAGUUCUUGAGUGAUGGAGAGGCAGGCGGAAUUCCCGGUGUAGCGGUGGAAUGCGUAGAUAUCGGGAGGAACACCAGUGGCGAAGGCGGCCUGCUGGACAUUAACUGACGCUGAGGCGCGAAAGCGUGGGGAGCAAACAGGAUUAGAUACCCUUGUAGUC